rnacentral:rRNA from 1 species
GACAGAGGAUGCAAGCGUUAUCCGGAAUGAUUGGGCGUAAAGCGUCUGUAGGUGGCUUUUUAAGUCCGCCGUCAAAUCCCAGGGCUCAACCCUGGACAGGCGGUGGAAACUACCAAGCUGGAGUACGGUAGGGGCAGAGGGAAUUUCCGGUGGAGCGGUGAAAUGCGUAGAGAUCCGGAGGAACCCCAGAGGCGAAGGCGGCGUCCUGGCUCGAACCUGACACUCAGACACGACAGCAUGGGGAGCGAACGGG